UCGUCACACUAUCAUUAACUGAAUCCAUAGGUUAAUGAGGCGAACCGGGGGAACUGAAACAUCUAAGUACCCCGAGGAAAAGAAAUCAACCGAGAUUCCCCCAGUAGCGGCGAGCGAACGGGGAGGAGCCCAGAGCCUGAAUCAGCAUGUGUGUUAGUGGAAGCGUCUGGAAAGGCGCGCGAUACAGGGUGACAGCCCCGUACACAAAAGCGCAUGUGUUGUGAGCUCGAUGAGUAGGGCGGGACACGUGGUAUCCUGUCUGAAUAUGGGGGGACCAUCCUCCAAGGCUAAAUACUCCUGACUGACCGAUAGUGAACCAGUACCGUGAGGGAAAGGCGAAAAGAACCCCGGCGAGGGGAGUGAAAAAGAACCUGAAACCGUGUACGUACAAGCAGUGGGAGCACCCUUUGGGGUGUGACUGCGUACCUUUUGUAUAAUGGGUCAGCGACUUAUAUUCUGUAGCAAGGUUAACCGAAUAGGGGAGCCGGAGGGAAACCGAGUCUUAAUUGGGCGUUAAGUUGCAGGGUAUAGACCCGAAACCCGGUGAUCUAGCCAUGGGCAGGUUGAAGGUUGGGUAACACUAACUGGAGGACCGAACCGACUAAUGUUGAAAAAUUAGCGGAUGACCUGUGGCUGGGGGUGAAAGGCCAAUCAAACCGGGAGAUAGCUGGUUCUCCCCGAAAGCUAUUUAGGUAGCGCCUCGUGAAUUCAUCUCCGGGGGUAGAGCACUGUUUCGGCUAGGGGGCCAUCCCGGCUUACCAACCCGAUGCAAACUGCGAAUACCGGAGAAUGUUAUCACGGGAGACACACGGCGGGUGCUAACGUCCGUCGUGAAGAGGGAAACAACCCAGACCGCCAGCUAAGGUCCCAAAGUCAUAGUUAAGUGGGAAACGAUGUGGGAAGGCCCAGACAGCCAGGAUGUUGGCUUAGAAGCAGCCAUCAUUUAAAGAAAGCGUAAUAGCUCACUGGUCGAGUCGGCCUGCGCGGAAGAUGUAACGGGGCUAAACUAUGCACCGAAGCUGCGGCAGCGACACUAUGUGUUGUUGGGUAGGGGAGCGUUCUGUAAGCCUGUGAAGGUGUGUCGUGAGGCAUGCUGGAGGUAUCAGAAGUGCGAAUGCU
rnacentral:rRNA from 1 species